UACAGCGGGUGCGAGCGUUAAUCGGAAUUACUGGGCGUAAAGCGCACGUAGUCGGCUUUGCAAGUCGGUUGUGAAAUCCCCGGGCUCAACCUGGGAACUGCAUCCGAGACUGCAUUGCUAGAGUAUGGGAGAGGGAAGCGGAAUUUCUGGUGUAGCAGUGAAAUGCGUAGAUAUCAGAAGGAACAUCAGUGGCGAAGGCGGCUUCCUGGACCAAUACUGACGAUCAGGUGCGAAAGCGUGGGGAGCAAACAGG
rnacentral:rRNA from 1 species